UGGGGAAUUUUGGACAAUGGGCGAAAGCCUGAUCCAGCCAUGCCGCGUGAGUGAAGAAGGCCCUCGGGUUGUAAAGCUCUUUUAGUCGGAAAGAAAGAGUUGCAAUGAAUAAUUGUGAUUUAUGACGGUACCGACAGAAAAAGCACCGGCUAACUACGUGCCAGCAGCCGCGGUAAUACGUAGGGUGCGAGCGUUAAUCGGAAUUACUGGGCGUAAAGGGUGCGCAGGCGGUCUUGCAAGUCAGAUGUGAAAGCCCCGGGCUUAACCUGGGAAUUGCGUUUGAAACUACAAGACUAGAGUGCAGCAGAGGGGAGUGGAAUUCCAUGUGUAGCAGUGAAAUGCGUAGAGAUGUGGAAGAACACCGAUGGCGAAGGCAGCUCCCUGGGUUGACACUGACGCUCAUGCACGAAAGCGUGGGGAGCAAACA
rnacentral:rRNA from 1 species